GGGUAUAGCUCAGUGGUAGAGUGCGUGCUUAGCAUGCAUGAAGUCCUGGGUUCAAUCCCCAGUACCUCCA
rnacentral:tRNA from 1 species